rnacentral:tRNA from 1 species
GAACUUGUAGCUCAAUUGGUUAGAGCAGCUGGUAAUUACUUGCUAAUUAUUAUGCGAUUUGCAGGUUCGAGUCCUGCCAAGUUCGCCA